UCGAGCGGUAAGGCCCUUUCGGGGGUACACGAGCGGCGAACGGGUGAGUAACACGUGGGUGACCUGCCCUCAGCUCUGGGAUAAGCCCGGGAAACUGGGUCUAAUACCGGAUAUGACCUGCUGUUGCAUGACAGCGGGUGGAAAGUUUUUCGGCUGAGGAUGGGCCCGCGGCCUAUCAGCUUGUUGGUGGGGUGAUGGCCUACCAAGGCGACGACGGGUAGCCGGCCUGAGAGGGCGACCGGCCACACUGGGACUGAGAUACGGCCCAGACUCCUACGGGAGGCAGCAGUGGGGAAUAUUGCGCAAUGGGCGAAAGCCUGACGCAGCGACGCCGCGUGGGGGAUGACGGCCUUCGGGUUGUAAACCUCUUUCGACCGGGACGAAGGGUGACUGACGGUACCGGUAGAAGAAGCACCGGCCAACUACGUGCCAGCAGCCGCGGUAAUACGUAGGGUGCGAGCGUUGUCCGGAAUUAUUGGGCGUAAAGAGCUCGUAGGCGGUGUGUCACGUCGGUCGUGAAAACUUGGGGCUUAACCCUGAGCGUGCGGUCGAUACGGGCAUCACUUGAGUUCGGCAGGGGAGACUGGAAUUCCUGGUGUAGCGGUGAAAUGCGCAGAUAUCAGGAGGAACACCGGUGGCGAAGGCGGGUCUCUGGGCCGACACUGACGCUGAGGAGCGAAAGCGUGGGGAGCGAACAGGAUUAGAUACCCUGGUAGUCCACGCCGUAAACGGUGGGCACUAGGUGUGGGGGCCAUUCCACGGUCUCUGUGCCGCA
rnacentral:rRNA from 1 species